rnacentral:tRNA from 1 species
CCGCUGGUAGUAUAUUAUAGUAUUACUUCUUUCCACGUGGUAGGUCCUCUUGGGUGGGGUCGGCGGU